CCUACGGGGUGCAGCAGUGGGGAAUAUUGCACAAUGGGGGAAACCCUGAUGCAGCGACGCCGCGUGAGCGAUGAAGUCCUUCGGUAUGUAAAGCUCUAUCAGCAGGGAAGAAAAUGUCGGUACCUGACUACUAAGCCCCGGCUAACUCCGUGCCAGCAGCCGCGGUCAUACGUAGGGGGCAAGCGCUAUCCGGAUUUACUGGGUGUAACGGUAGCGUAGACGGCGGUGCAGGCAAGAUGUGAAGGCCCGGGGCUCAACCCGGAGACGGAAUUUAGAACUGGGCGGCUAGGGUGUCGAGGAGGCAGGCGGAAUUCCUAGUGUAGCGGUGAAAGGCG
rnacentral:rRNA from 1 species